ACCGAUAUCCAGUGAUGAACCAAGUAGAUAAGCCACCCCACCACUCAUUUAUUAAUAUCUUAUCAACAGAAAUAUGAAAUUUUUUAAAGGAAAAUUCUUCAAUAUAUUUAACUAAAUAUUUAUUUGAUUUGUGCAUCAGCUCAAUAAUGUUGUAGCUAAAGAUCUUUUCUUUUCCUAUGAAUAACGGGAAUCGUACGUAUACUACUUUUUUGUCGGUUCAUCCUGAGAGUGGUGCUAUAACAAGCUAAGAUCAAAUGUUUCAUGACCUUCAUUUUCUGAGAGGGUCCCAAUUAGGGGAUAAGUCAUGAAAAAUUGCAAGAGAUCAAUAAUUUUAGUAUAAGAAAAUAAUUAAUAUUGGUUAGUUAAUGGUUUCUAAGUGAUAAAUCAUAACCCCUAACCAUAACCGCCAAGUCCUGUCGUACAUGUACAUGCAUGCAAUUCUGUUCUUUCAUUAGGUCUAAUUUGGUCAUUUUCAUUCAUAAUUUUUUAAGCGAGGGUCCUACCCUUGAUGUUCUUGAAAAAUGCCAAGAAGUGGAGGCCAGAGCUAGGGAGCUUGAUAAACAGGUGAAGCUACUUGUGAGAUUCCUGAUUUUGCAUACUCGCCAAAUCCACACAAUGGAAGUUCUGGGUCUGACUGUAUGCUUUUCUUGGCCUUUAAAGCCAGUGCUUAGUAGAUCUAUGUGGUGCAUUGCACUGUGACAUUGAAAUCAAUUUUGGGUUGAAAAAAUCAAAAUGUAAUCCUGCUGCCGCUGCAAGAAAUAAACAUCUGUGUGAGGUGUGCAUCAGUCUGUCUAUUCAUUUGUUUUAACCAGAUUUGUUUCAUGCCACCAAUUUAUCUCAAAAGAUUGAAAAGUUGACAAUUUAGCCCUUGAAGGACUAAACAAGUGCAACAUCAGUUGCUAUGUGGGUUUGGGAAAUUUAUCAACAAACUGAGUAAAUCAUUUGAACACAAUGGACUUAUUUAGUUAUUUGGAGGUUAAAUUGUCUAUGUUAUUAAGUAUUCAAGGGCUAAAUUGAUGGUAUAAACAAUUUAUAUCUGUCUCUAAUUGUUUUCUACAGAGCUUAACAGAUAGUUGUUUUCCUGUUAAUGACGGUCCUACAGCAAGCCGACUCCAUGGUAUGAUAUUAGUUUCUUUUCUGUAAAAUGUUGCACGUUAUUGGUAGCUACUGCUUUCUUACAUUGACAAUUUGUCAGAAUUCUUCUUGCACCAAUUCUGUGAUGCACACAGCUGCAUUGGAAGCAAGAAACCUUUCUCCAGAGACCGCCAGGUAAUUUAAUUAAAAUAUAUAAAUGAUUUCUAUCCCUUUCUUUAAUUUACCUUAAGAGGAUCAUUCUGAAAAAUCUUAAAAGAUUCAGAAAUCCUGAAGAAUUUAACUUGACAAAUUGCAUAAUAAUGAGAGAGUGAAUUUUCAAAGACUCCUUAAUGCCUUGUCCAACUAUAUGGUGGAAAUGAAUCUAUUUAAUGUAAUUCGUUUGAAUUCAUUUAACUGGUUUCUUGAUAUAUGCAGAAGAAGACAAAUGCAUUCUACAUCGUUGCUUCCAUUUUGCUUUUGAUGCUGCUGCUACUUUACUAUCUCUAUAUCUACUUUAUCUACUUGUGAUAAGGUUUUGAUUUUUGUCUUAUAGAGGGAUGAAAAGGGAAACUCAACUGUUGAGGCGCAUCUCUCAAACUGGCAGAAAGAAAAAACCAUCUUAAUGGAUAGAUUUGUCAUCUUCGGAAGUUCUCGCUUCUCCAACACUUUCAGAAUCCAUAGAAGUUUACUAAUCUGUGACAGUGGUUACUGCACUCCCAAUUCGGCCAUAGGCAAGUGCAGUUGGAGGAGAAGAGCGAGAAAGACUGCCAAAUCUGCUCCUCGUUUUUUACAUGUUUGUUGUAAGCCAAUUUCUUUACAGAGACUUAGCAAACACAAAUUUGAGCUGCAGGAUUGAAUUCGCCCUUGGUAGCUUUUGUAUUUGAUUCUAACUAACAUUACUAACAAGAAAAAUUAUACCUUAUCAUCGUGUUCUUUUUGUUUGUUGAAACUUGAUGAGGAUCUAUUUGUAAACGUUUUCAUUGUG